AGAGUUUGAUCAUGGCUCAGGAUUAACGCUGGCGGUAUGUCUAACACAUGCAAGUCGAACGGAAUACUAAUUAAGAGAAUCUCACACUAGUGAGAGGUUCUCACGAGUAGUAUUUAGUGGCGGACGGGUGAGUAACACGUUGGAACCUGCCCCGAAGUGGGGGAUAACUGCUCGAAAGAGUAGCUAAUACCCCAUAGUAUCCGGUUUAUCCGGAUUAAAGAUUUAUCGCUUCGGGAGGGGCCUGCGUCUGAUUAGCUAGUUGGUGAGGUAAAAGCUCACCAAGGCGACGAUCAGUAGCUGGUUCGAGAGGAUGACCAGCCACACUGGGACUGAGAUACGGCCCAGACUCCUACGGGAGGCAGCAGUGAGGAAUCUUCCACAAUGGGCGCAAGCCUGAUGGAGCAAUACCGCGUGCAGGAAGACGCUUUUCGGAGUGUAAACUGCUUUUGUCGUCGAAGAUUAUGACUGUAGACGAAGAAUAAGGACCGGCUAACUACGUG
rnacentral:rRNA from 1 species